GAACUCCUCUUCAGAGAGAGACAUUUAUUUGUAAGCAAUAGGAAAAUAUAGAUGCCUUGCAGGAAGAUGGCGAGUUCAUGAACGGUGGAGUAUUCUGGCGACGACAGAGUAAAGCUGUUGGGUCGAGAACAGCUGGCGACCUUUGGCAGAUUUUGUUGCUGCAAGGUUUUGCGAAACGAUCCGUUUUGCAUUUUUGUUGGUGUUGCUGCCCGACCGGGUUUGCUUGCAGGUAAGUGUUUGUUGAUUAAUUUAAUUUUUUGUUUGUUUUCAGGUACUGGUGAUUUGGCUUUGGCCAGUUUUGUUGGCCGCAUGUUGGUAUUUGAUGAGUACCGCUGACUUUUAGCUUUGUCGAUAAUUAUAGUUGUUUUAAUUUUAGUUGUUUCUCCGUUUUCAGGUACGUCUAGUGUAUAAAUAGGGGUUGCUGCUGUAGGCGAGUAAUUUACAGGUGCAGGCGCAUUAGUUGCACCCAAUGGGGCGGCUGCCAGACGAGAUUUAGCACCAGAAAGUGUAG